rnacentral:rRNA from 1 species
GACGAACCGUGGGAACGUUAUUCGGAAUCACUGGGCUUAAAGCGCGUGUAGGCGGGUCGGCGCGUCGGACGCUGAAAUCCCCCGGCUCAACCGGGGAAGGGGCGCCGAUACGGCCGGCCUGGAGGGACGUAGGGGGGGCUGGAACUUCCGGUGGAGCGGUGAAAUGCGUUGAGAUCGGAAGGAACGCCCGUGGCGAAAGCGAGCCCCUGGACGUCUACUGACGCUGAGACGCGAAAGCCAGGGGAGCGAACGGG